rnacentral:rRNA from 1 species
UACGUAGGGUGCAAGCGUUAAUCGGAAUACUGGGCGUAAAGCGUGCGCAGGCGGUGAUGUAAGACAGGUGUGAAAUCCCCGGGCUUAACCUGGGAACUGCAUUUGUGACUGCAUCGCUGGAGUGCGGCAGAGGGGGAUGGAAUUCCGCGUGUAGCAGUGAAAUGCGUAGAUAUGCGGAGGAACACCGAUGGCGAAGGCAAUCCCCUGGGCCGCACUGACGCUCAUGCACGAAAGCGUG